rnacentral:rRNA from 1 species
ACGAACGCUGGCGGCGUGCUUCACACAUGCCAGUCGCACGGAAAGGCCCUGCUUUUGUGGGGUGCUCGAGUGGCGAACGGGUGAGUAACACGUGAGUAACCUGCCCUUGACUUUGGGAUAACUUCAGGAAACUGGGGCUAAUACCGGAUAGGAGCUCCUGCUGCCUGGUGGGGGUUGGAAAGUUUCGGCGGUUGGGGAUGGACUCGCGGCUUAUCAGCUUGUUGGUGGGGUAGUGGCUUACCAAGGCUUUGACGGGUAGCCGGCCUGAGAGGGUGACCGGCCACAUUGGGACUGAGAUACGGCCCAGACUCCUACGGGAGGCAGCAGUGGGGAAUAUUGCACAAUGGGCGGAAGCCUGAUGCAGCAACGCCGCGUGCGGGAUGACGGCCUUCGGGUUGUAAACCGCUUUCGCCUGUGACGAAGCGUGAGUGACGGUAAUGGGUAAAGAAGCACCGGCUAACUACGUG